rnacentral:rRNA from 1 species
GAUCAACGCUGGCGGCGUGCCUAAUACAUGCAAGUCGAGCGCAGGAAGUCGACGGAACCCUUCGGGGGGAAGCCGAUGGAAUGAGCGGCGGACAGGUGAGUAACACGUAAAGAACCUGCCCUCAGGUCUGGGAUAACCACGAGAAAUCGGGGCUAAUACCGGAUGGGUCAUCGGACCGCAUGGUCCGAGGAUGAAAGGCGCUUCGGCGUCGCCUGGGGAUGGCUUUGCGGUGCAUUAGCUAGUUGGUGGGGUAAUGGCCCACCAAGGCGACGCUGGAUGGCCGACCUGAGAGGGUGAUCGGCCACACUGGGACUGAGACACGGCCCAGACUCCUAAGGGAGGCAGCAGUAGGGAAUCUUCCACAAUGGACGAAAGUCUGAUGGAGCAACGCCGCGUGAACGAUGAAGGCCUUCGGGUCGUAAAGUUCUGUUGUAAGGGAAGAACAAGUGCCGCAGGCAAUGGCGGCACCUUGACGGUACCUUGCGAGAAAGCCACGGCUAACUACGUGCCAGCCGCCGCUGUAACAC